GAUGGCUCUGGGGGUAAUGCUAGUUGGUAAGCAAUUGCUCCAAUUCUCUCUAAAACCUCAAAUGGGCCAAUAAAUCGAGGGCUUAACUUUCCCUUCUUCUUGAGUCUACUGAUGCCUUUGAGAGGCAUGAUCUUUAGAAAGACAUAAUCACUUACCUCAAAUUCUAGGUCCUUUCUUCAGUUAUCAGCAUAUCUUUUCUGUCUACUCUGGGCUACCUGAAUAUUCUUUCUGAUCUUAGAGAUCUUUGCAGUAGUUUCAUGUACUAACUCUGGGCCAAUUAACUUUCUUUCCCCUAGUUCUUCCCAACAUAUGGGUGAUCAACAAUGUCAGUCAUACAAUAUUUCAUAAGGGGUCAUACCAAUGCUUUCCU
rnacentral:lncRNA from 1 species